GCUUUGGUAUCAGGAUGAUGCUGGCUUCAUAAAAGGAGAGGAUUCACUCUUUUUCUAUUGAUUGGAAUAGUUUCAGGAGGAAUGGUACCAGCUCCUCCUUGUACCUCUGAUAGAAUUUGGCUGCGAAUCCAUCUGGUCCUGGACUUUUUUUGCUUGAAUCUGCAAAACGACGUUUUGGAGCCCAUUAAGGCCUAUAAUGAAAAACCACAUAUCCACCAAUGAAAACUAGAAAGAAGCUAUUUGUGAAAACCCUUUGUGAUGCAUGGAUUCAUCUCAUAGAGGUCACCUUUCUUUUGAUUCAGCAGAUGUUGGAAACACUCUUUUUAUAGAAUCUGCACAGGGACACUUUGGAGCUUAUUGAGGGCUAUACUGAAAAACCGAAUAUACCACGAUGAAAACUAAAAGGAAUCUAUAUGUGAAAAUGCUUUGUGAUGUGUGGAUUUAUCUCACAGAAUUAAACAUUUCUUUUGAUUCAGC